AGAGUUUGAUCAUGGCUCAGAGCGAACGCUGGCGGCAGGCUUAACACAUGCAAGUCGAGCGGGCGUAGCAAUACGUCAGCGGCAGACGGGUGAGUAACGCGUGGGAACAUACCUUUUGGUUCGGAACAACACAGGGAAACUUGUGCUAAUACCGGAUAAGCCCUUACGGGGAAAGAUUUAUCGCCGAAAGAUUGGCCCGCGUCUGAUUAGCUAGUUGGUGAGGUAAUGGCUCACCAAGGCGACGAUCAGUAGCUGGUCUGAGAGGAUGAUCAGCCACAUUGGGACUGAGACACGGCCCAAACUCCUACGGGAGGCAGCAGUGGGGAAUAUUGGACAAUGGGGGCAACCCUGAUCCAGCCAUGCCGCGUGAGUGAUGAAGGCCCUAGGGUUGUAAAGCUCUUUUGUGCGGGAAGAUAAUGACGGUACCGCAAGAAUAAGCCCCGGCUAACUUCGUGCCAGCAGCCGCGGUAAUACGAAGGGGGCUAGCGUUGCUCGGAAUCACUGGGCGUAAAGGGUGCGUAGGCGGGUCUUUAAGUCAGGGGUGAAAUCCUGGAGCUCAACUCCAGAACCGCCUUUGAUACUGAGGAUCUUGAGUCCGGGAGAGGUGAGUGGAACUGCGAGUGUAGAGGUGAAAUUCGUAGAUAUUCGCAAGAACACCAGUGGCGAAGGCGGCUCACUGGCCCGGUACUGACGCUGAGGCACGAAAGCGUGGGGAGCAAACAGGAUUAGAUACCCUAGUAGUCC
rnacentral:rRNA from 1 species